CAGAAAUCAAGAGUCAGAUACACAACCACCUGAGCCACCCAGGCACAGAGGGAAGUGGGCCAGAAAUGGACAAUACCAGGUUCUUGAAAUGCCUCACCUUGGCUACAUGCGCUCACGUCCUUGGUGGAUGAAUUAGAAAGCCUCUCCAGGACAAGGUUCGACCCAAAAGUGGAAGCAGGAGCAUUUGAUUGGGCUGCUAAAGAUAUGAGGCCAGGGUGUAGGGACCCGAAUCCCUUUCUGGCCCCCAGGGGUGAGGUUCACGGUAUAAAUAAAUAUGGUGGAUGAUCCCAGAGGUAAGCCUUAUUUGCUCAUACAUUUCCAAACCAUGGGACUAGGCAUGCAUUUGGUGCACAAGGCA